AAAGAGGUGUAGUGAAGGAGUGAUAGUGGUAUAGAAAGAGGUUUAGUGAAGGAGUGAUAGUGGUAUAGAAAGAGGUGUGGUGAAGGAGUGAUAGUGGUAUAGAAAGAGGUGUAGUGAAGGAGUGAUGAUAUAUAAAGAGGUGUAGUGAAGGAGUGAUAGUGGUAUAGAAAGAGGUUUAGUGAAGGAGUGAUAGUGGUAUAGAAAGAGGUGUGGUGAAGGAGUGAUAGUGGUAUAGAAAGAGGUGUAGUGAAGGAGUGAUGAUAUAUAAAGAGGUGUAGUGAAGGAGUGAUAGUGGUAUAGAAAGAGGUUUAGUGAAGGAGUGAUAGUGGUAUAGAAAGAGGUGUGCUGAAGGAGUGAUAGUGGUAUAGAAAGAGGUAUAGUGAAGGAGUUAUAGUGGUAUAGAAAGGUGUAGUGAAGGAGUGAUAGUGGUAUAGAAAGAGGUGUAGUGAAGGAAUGAUAGUGGUAUCGAAA